AACGCACCUUGCGCCCCUUGGUAUUCCGAGGGGCAUGCCUGUUUGAGUGUCUUGAAAUCAUCAAACCUAACCGGUCUUUGUUGGCCGGCGCGGUUUGGACUUGGGGGGUUUCCUUGCUGCCGCUCGCGGUGGCUCCCCUUAAAUUCAUCGGUCGGGCUUUCGUGCGGCUCUGUCCCUUGGCGUUGUAUUACCCUCGUCGCUGGAUGGCUCGCGAUACUGCGCCCUUCUUUGACCUGCCUCUGGAGCGGCGGUCUUCAACUUUUGUGAUCUGACCUCAAAUCAGGUAGGACUACCCGCUGAACUUAA
rnacentral:misc_RNA from 1 species